GGGUAGCCGGCCUGAGAGGGCGACCGGCCACACUGGGACUGAGACACGGCCCAGACUCCUACGGGAGGCAGCAGUGGGGAAUAUUGCACAAUGGGCGAAAGCCUGAUGCAGCGACGCCGCGUGAGGGAUGACGGCCUUCGGGUUGUAAACCUCUUUCAGUAGGGAAGAAGCGCAAGUGACGGUACCUACAGAAGAAGCACCGGCUAACUACGUGCCAGCAGCCGCGGUAAUACGUAGGGUGCGAGCGUUGUCCGGAAUUAUUGGGCGUAAAGAGCUCGUAGGCGGCUUGUCACGUCGGAUGUGAAAGCCCGGGGCUUAACCCCGGGUCUGCAUUCGAUACGGGCAGGCUAGAGUUCGGUAGGGGAGAUCGGAAUUCCUGGUGUAGCGGUGAAAUGCGCAGAUAUCAGGAGGAACACCGGUGGCGAAGGCGGAUCUCUGGGCCGAUACUGACGCUGAGGAGCGAAAGCGUGGGGAGCGAACAGGAUUAGAUACCCUGGUAGUCCACGCCGUAAACGUUGGGAACUAGGUGUGGGCGACAUUCCACGUCGUCCGUGCCGCAGCUAACGCAUUAAGUUCCCCGCCUGGGGA
rnacentral:rRNA from 1 species